rnacentral:rRNA from 1 species
CGCAGCCAAACCCCUCCGCAGGCGCGCGCGUCCGCCGCCCUGCAGGGAUGCUGUUCACAGAAUAAAUGACGAUGGGUCCGCCUCCUCCCCGGGGAGGAGGUGGGCUUAAGAUAUAGUCGGGUCGCUCUGGAGACAGAGCAUCGAAUCGCAGAGUUCUUCACCGUUCCGUAGGUGAACCUGCGGAAGGAUCAUUG